rnacentral:rRNA from 1 species
GCCCUAGUAACGGCGAGUGAAGCGGCAACAGCUCAAAUUUGAAAUCUGGCUUCGGCCCGAGUUGUAAUUUGCAGAGGAUGCUUCUGGCGCGGUGCCUUCCGAGUUCCCUGGAACGGGACGCCACAGAGGGUGAGAGCCCCGUAUGGUCGGACACCAAGCCUGUGUGAAGCUCCUUCGACGAGUCGAGUAGUUUGGGAAUGCUGCUCUAAAUGGGAGGUAAAUCUCUUCUAAAGCUAAAUACCGGCCAGAGACCGAUAGCGCACAAGUAGAGUGAUCGAAAGAUGAAAAGCACCUUGAAAAGGGGGUUAAAUAGUACGUGAAAUUGUUGAAAGGGAAGCACUUAUGACCAGACUUGGGCCGGGCGGCUCAUCAGGGGUUCUCCCCUGUGCACUCCGCCCGGCACAGGCCAGCAUCGGUUCUCGUGGGGGGAUAAGACCGUCAGGAACGUAGCACCCUCCGGGGUGUGUUAUAGCCUGGCGGACGAUACCCCCGUGGGGACCGAGGUCCGCGCUCCGCAAGGAUGCUGGCGUAAUGGUCAUCAGUGACCCGUCUUGAAACACGGACCAAGGAGUCGUCCAUUAGAGCGAGCGUUUGGGUGUAAAACCCGCACGCGUAAUGAAAGUGAACGCAGGUGAGAGCUUCGGCGCAUCAUCGACCGAUCCUGAUGUUCUCGGAAGGAUUUGAGUAAGAGUUUUAACGGACGGACCCGAAAGACAGUGAACUAUGCUUGUAUAGGGUGAAGCCAGAGGAAACUCUGGUGGAGGCUCGCAGCGGUUCUGACGUGCAAAUCGAUCGUCAAAUAUGAGCAUGGGGGCGAAAGACUAAU